GGCGGGGUCGCCUAGUCAGGCGAGGGCGCUCAACUGAUGAUUGAGAGUGACCUAGGGGGUCGCACGCGGGUUCGAAUCCCGCCCCCGCCGCCA
rnacentral:tRNA from 1 species